ACGAACGCUGGCGGCAUGCCUAACACAUGCAAGUCGAACGAGACCUUCGGGUCUAGUGGCGCACGGGCGCGUAACGCGUGGGAAUCUGCCCUUAGGUUCGGAACAACCGCGGGAAACUGCGGCUGAUACCGGAUGAUGUCUUCGGACCAAAGAUUUAUCGCCUUUGGAGGGGCCCGCGUCGGAUUAGGUAGUUGGUGAGGUAACGGCUCACCAAGCCUGCGAUCCGUAGCUGGUCUGAGAGGAUGACCAGCCACACUGGGACUGAGACACGGCCCAGACUCCUACGGGAGGCAGCAGUGGGGAGUAUUGGACAAUGGGGGCAACCCUGAUCCAGCAAUGCCGCGUGGGUGAUGAAGGCCUUCGGGUUGUAAAGCCCUUUCGGCGGGGACGAUGAUGACGGUACCCGCAGAAGAAGCCCCGGCUAACUUCGU
rnacentral:rRNA from 1 species